GACGAACGCUGGCGGCGUGCUUAACACAUGCAAGUCGAACGAAGUGGCGAACGGGUGAGUAAUGCGUAAUCAACCUGCCCUUCAGAGGGGGACAACAGUUGGAAACGACUGCUAAUACCGCAUACUGAAGACGGGGAUUGCGUCGGAUUAGCUAGUUGGAGGGGUAACGGCCCAACAAGGCGAUGAUCAGUAGCCUGUCCGAGAGGAGGGACGGUCACCUUGUGAGUGAGUCACGGCCCAUACUCCUACGGGAGGCAGCCGUUGUGAAUCUUCCGCAAUGGACCAAAGUCUGACGGAGCACCGCGCCGUGAGUGAUGACGGCCUUCUGGUGGUAAAGCUCUGUUAAUCGGGACGCGGUACCGGAAUAGAAAGCCACUGCUAACUACGUGACAGCAGCUGCGGUAAUUC
rnacentral:rRNA from 1 species